GAUGAAGAACGCAGCGAAGUGCGAUAAGUAGUGUGAAUUGCAGAAUUCAGUGAAUCAUCGAAUCUUUGAACGCACAUUGCGCCCCUUGGUAUUCCAUGGGGCAUGCCUGUUCGAGCGUCAUUUGUACCUUCAAGCUUUGCUUGGUGUUGGGUGUUUGUCCUGAGGGACUCGCCUUAAAGUAAUUGGCAGCCAGUGUUUGGUUUUGAAGCGCAGCACAAGUCGCGAUUCAAGGCUAUACACCAGCUUCCACAAGCCUUUUUCACUUUUGACCUCGGAUCAGGUAGGGAUACCCGCUGAACUUAAGCAUAUCAAUAAGCGGAGGA
rnacentral:misc_RNA from 1 species